CUGGGAGGCUGGCACUGGGAGGCUGGCACUGGGAGGCUGGCACUGGGAGGCUGGCAGGCUGGGUGUUACUACUAGUUUAUGUUAAGUGACACUUCUCCCAGUGAGAGACUGAAACUCACUCUCACCCUCUCUCUCUAUCACACCAGGGUUUCUACUAGUAGUUUAUGUUAAGUGACACUUCUCCCAGUGAGAGACUGAAACUCACUCUCACCCUCUCUCUCUCACACCAGGGUUUCUACUAGUAGUUUAUGUUAAGUGACACUUCUCCCAGUGAGAGACUGAAACUCACUCUCACCCUCUCUCUCUCUAUCAC
ensembl:lncRNA